UACUAACAUUUAUUUCUCAAUUUAUGAAAACAAAAUGUGACUACUUAUACUGUGUUUUACAUUAACCACAUAACAAAACAAUGCAAUAAGUAUUUAACCGACAAAUAAUUAGGUGAAUGACCUCUUAACAAGUUCAUACCGACACAGUUAAAAUCUUUUCUACUAUUAGCACACGCUGCUGUGUAUUUGUGCCUAAUCUGAUCUAAAAUUUAAUAAUAAUAAUAAAUAAAUAAGUUCAUACAUCGACCCCGAGACCCCUUGUCCGGGAGUCGCACUUAGAAAUAAAAGUACUUUAGUAUCAUAAUAAUUUAAUCAAAAAACAAAAAUACAAAGAGGAGAUGUCAUAACUGGAUUUCCCUUUAACAUAACGCGUGACACUUUACGGGGAGCGCGGGACGUUACAAACCACGCCCCUCUCUAUUUUCCAUCUAGCGGUCCCAUACUACAAAAACGUUGCCAAUUGUCCACAUUUUAAUGUGCCACUUUCUGAGCGCUUAUAAACUAUCUACACCUUUUUACUUAUAAUAUCAUUGGACAGGACCGUGUUUUUGUGUCACAGUGCACAAUCACAUUAUGGCAUCUCCUCUUUGUACUUGCUUCAUGUAAUAAAAAUGUAUGAGAAUUUUACAUAAUAUAAUUACAUGACGUCAAACGCUUAAUACAUACGCAAGUAAUAUAGGUAUAUACAUAGAUACUAAUAUAUUUUUACAUAACAACGACCAAUAAAUUACCUACCUAACUGCCGUAUUCAGAGUAAUUUAAUGCUUACUUAAAGCGGACUACCUAGCGGUUUACCGGGGCUCCGGCUCGAAAAGCAGGAGUAGGAACGGGGUGGUUUUUAGUCAGUAAGAGUCUGACACUCGCCUCGCCUCGCCUAAGGCGAGAGAAGUCUUUAGAUGAUUUUCCCUCCUCAAAAAAAACCUUAUCCUUAGCCAUUGUUUUCGGAACAAAAUCGUUACUAAGGAUUAGUUUAAGUAAUCAUUAAAUGUCUCUGAGUGUGGCAGUAAAUUAAGUAAAAAUCACGGUUAAUGUGGGAAAACCUUUACUGAAAAAAGCUCAACUAGUACUAAUAGAAGUAGGCUGCGCGACGUCACCGCGUCUGCACACGCUGCUUAAAAUGAUGAAGAGUCCCUCUGUGACUCGAAACUAGUAGAGCUUUUCUCUAUUAAUUUAUGUGUGUAAACCGUGAUUUUUAUUUAAUUUAGUAUGUCUCAAGAUUGUUAUUAUAAAAAAUACCUACCUAAACAUUGUGUAAUAUCAGUAUUUGAGUAUUAAUUAUAUGUUUGAAGAUAAUUGUAUAUUUAACUAAUAUAAUUGUUAGUAAUAAAUAUACAUUAAUGCGUUAAAAUUAGGCCCUCAGUAUAAGACCUCUCAGAUGGGGCCCAGUAGGGCUGAUGCCUGAUCCGGAGCUGCGGACUACCUAGCGGGUUUACCGGGGCUCCGGCUCGAAAAGCAGGAGAAGGAACGGGGUGGUUUUUAGUCAGUAAGAGUCUGACACUCCCUCUCCCUCCCUCAGAACAAAUAUUUAUGAUUAUUUUUCAUAGAUACCUAGGUAAUUAGAAAGAUUAUUCUGACCUGGGGCCUUAGUCUGCUAUUACAAUUGUGUCAGAAUGGUCGAUCACUGAGCAGUGCGAGAGGGACGAAGCUAUGUAGGUUGUAUAGCUCCGUCCCUCUCGCACUGCUCAGUGAUCGACCGAUCGAUGAUAAUAGCAGACUAAGGCCCCUGUUGUCUAUAGACAGACAUAUUAAAUCCAAUCCAAGAUAGUUAAUUAUCACUUCUCAAGUCUUUAGAUAUUAAGGCUUAGGCCUUCAGUCAUUCCAUACAUGCCUAGCAUAAAUAGACAGACAAUAUUAAUUUACACCUACAAAUUAAUUAUUAUGUUAUCGGCCUACUCACGUAACUGUUUGACGAGGAACUCGACUAGUUUCAAGCCAUGCUAGAGCAAUAGCAGCGCGACAGUCACUGCGUCGUGUGUCGCGGAAUGCUGCUCAUGAAUAUGAGCCUCCAUGGCUUGAAACUAGUCGAGUUCCUCGUCAAACAGUUACGUGAGUAAGCCGAUAACAUAAUAAUUAAUUUAGUAUGUCUCACGAAAGUUAUAAUAAAAUUACACAUACACAUACAUAAUUAUUUUAAAUCGAUUUGGUAUCUUGUAUUUAGGCUUUAAAGCCAGUCAAGAGGCUCAUAUUCAUGAGCAGCAUUCCGCGAUUGGAGUUACAAGAUAUAAAGAAAAUCGAAACUACACAUAUUAAAAAUGUAGCUAAGUGCUAAGUGUAUUUAAAAAAAGCUUUCAACAUAUAUUUUGUCAAGGUAUCGCUUUCUAUGAUAUUUCCACACAUUCGACGGUCAGUUUAUACCAGUUAUAAGUAAGCGUCCACAGGCCCGCAUCGUACGCAUCGCACGCAACGGAUUUUAGUUUGUCUUGUAUAGAAACUCAUACAACUGCGUCCACUGAUCCGCAUCGUACGGACCGCAUCAUCGGCAAUGCCUACAUGCGAUGUGUACUGAUGACGUCAUACGGAAUGCGUACGAU